GUGUCAGCAGCCGCGGUAAUACAGAGGUCCCAAGCGUUGUUCGGAUUUACUGGGCGUAAAGGGUGCGUAGGUGGUGAGGUAAGUCUGAUGUGAAAUCUCCGAGCUUAACUCGGAAAUGGCAUUGGAAACUACCUGACUUGAGGGUUUGAGGGGGGACUGGAAUACUUGGUGUAGCAGUGAAAUGCGUAGAUAUCAAGUGGAACACCAGUGGCGAAGGCGAGUCCCUGGAAAAUACCUGACACUGAGGCACGAAAGCUAGGGGAGCAAACAGGAUUAGAUACCCCGGUAGUCC
rnacentral:rRNA from 1 species